GGGUUGAUCGAGUGAAAACACCCUGGACACCCUUCCUGCUCCCUCCUUCUGCUGAGGAGGCUGCUGGUUCCAGAUGAAGUAGCUAUGAGAUGGUGGAGCCUCCAUCAGCUUCAAUCCCAAGUGACUGUGUGGAGCAGAGUCUUCUUCCCUACAGCUGAUAGGAUGCUUCAGUAGAAAGUGGAAAUGCUGUCUCCCGAAUUUGCUGAACGAUGAUGUUCUGAGGAGACCUGCACUUGAGAACAAAAGUGACUACUCUUUUGUCCUAAUCUUAAAUCCCAUCACCUUGGCUGCAACUGCUGAGUGCUGGUAAUGAGUGUUGAGAGGCAAUCCGAGGAUGGUGAUUAGGUAUUAAGCCUGGGCAGGUAUUAACCGAGAGGUGUGUGGACCUUUCGCUCAGCACCACAAGAGCAGAUCUCUGCCAGCAAGCUUAUCUGGCCAUCAGCCAGGGACAGAGCUGCACUGUGGCAAAGUGAAAUGUGAUUUUAAUGAUUCUGAGCACAUGGUUUCUGCCUCCAGCAUGCUAGAUUUGUAGACUGGCAUUUUUUUUCCCUUGGGUAGAUUCCAGAUGUUGUAUAACUUGUGCCUUUCUAAGUUACAGCAUGGUAGAUGGGGACUUGUCUUUGUUAUGAGCAUGUACAAUGUGGGUCGCAGUUAAGCACUGUCAAAUAGCCUCCUAAAAGAUGAG
rnacentral:lncRNA from 1 species